UUUUUAAAAGAGUUAAUAUUCCUUACUUCCUGUUUACUUGUUUUGGGUGUGACCCACACCACUCAUCGUUCACUCUGAGCUCCUCAGAUUUUCAUCCAUAUGCAGGCACACAGUUUGCGUACAUGGGUGUUUAACAAAACCAGUUUCAACCCGAAGGCAGGCAGAGAGUUGCGGGAUUCAGAUAUAUGGAGGUCCAUGCGGAUAUCGUGCUACAAUAUGGAAAGGCGUGGUGUAGCUCCGUAGAGAAUAACCCGAGACUUGGGAGGCAUCGGAACCCUGGUAUAUUGUCAGGAAUUGACGAUAGCUCGUGCAAGGCUUGCAUGGUGGUGGAUUGUUUUCCUUUUUGGGCGUGCUUAUCGCAAGUUGGCGGGAAACCGGAACAGUGUCUUCAGAGUGCAGAUUAGUUACAUUAUAAAGUUAAAGUAACUCGAAAUUUAGAACAAACCCAAAGAAUAUUAUAUUACUGAAAAGGAGAAUUGAAUAUUGGAACUUUUUCUAAAUUAUACUACUUUUGAAUAUUGUUUUAACUUGAAAAGUUAAUACCUGUACAUUUGCUUUACAUCUGAUACGUACUAUCGAACUUUCCAAAAUAACUGUUUACAACGUAUCAGAUAUUUAUAUUGGCAAUUGCUUAUUCAUGUAAAUUUGUGUUGAGAGUGAAAGGAGUGAGUGUGCAUAUCUUUUUCUUUUUUUAUUAUUUAUUUAAACAAUAAAUUUGUUUUUGUUU